GACGAACCGUGCGAACGUUGUUCGGAAUCACUGGGCAUAAAGGGCGCGUAGGCGGCUUGUCAAGUCAGGGGUGAAAUCCGGCAGCUUAACUGUCGAAGUGCCUUUGAUACUGAUGAGCUCGAGGGAGGCAGGGGUAUGCGGAACUUCCGGUGGAGCGGUGAAAUGCGUUGAUAUCGGAAGGAACGCCGGUGGCGAAAGCGGCGUACUGGACCUCUUCUGACGCUGAGGCGCGAAAGCUAGGGGAGCAAACGGG
rnacentral:rRNA from 1 species